CAAUCAAGUAGAAGUAAUUUAUUCGAGUGGUCGCAAUUCAAAAGAAACAGGCGAAAUAAUUCGCAUUUCGCCGAGAAAAAGCUCUCCUGGAAUCAGGCCUUAAGGCAGUUUUCCACUAGGCGAAAUUUUUCGACCGAAUCGAAAUUUUCUUUUGUCUUAAAAGCACUCAGAUGGAACUAAGGGGCGGACCAUUAGAAAUCCCGGGAGGGGGGGUGAAAAUUCCCCCAAAAAAAUUCGUGCAAAGGAAAAUGCCUGGAAAAAAAAUUCGUGCAGCCAUUACGUCAGAGAAAAAAAAUUCGUGCAAGCAAACAGCGAAGUAGAAAUAGUCUUGAAAAAAAAUUCGUGCAGAGGUUAAAUGCAUUAAAAAAAAUUCCUGCAGAGACACGAGACUGAAAAAAAAAUUCGUGCCGCAAAAAUUUUAGACCCCCCUCC